CGCGUAGGUGGUCUUGUAUGUCUACCGUGAAAGCACACGGCUCAACCGUGUUACGUCGGUAGAAACUGCAGGACUUGAGGCUGGGAGGGGCUGGUGGAAUUCCCCGUGUAGCGGUGAAAUGCGUAGAGAUGGGGGAGAACACUCGUGGCGAAGGCGGCCAGCUAGACCAGCUCUGACACUGAGGCGCGACAGCGUGGGGAGCAAACA
rnacentral:rRNA from 1 species